rnacentral:rRNA from 1 species
GACGAACGCUGGCGGCAGGCUUAACACAUGCAAGUCGAACGAGUGGCGGACGGGUGAGUAAUGUCUGGGAAACUGCCUGAUGGAGGGGGAUAACUACGGGAAACGGUAGCUAAUACCGCAUACCAUCGGAUGAGCCCAGAUGGGAUUAGCUAGUAGGUGGGGUAAAGGCUCACCAAGGCGACGAUCUCUAGCUGGUCUGAGAGGAUGACCAGCCACACGGGAACUGAGACACGGACCAGACUCCUACGGGAGGCAGCAGUGGGGAAUAUUGCACAAUGGGCGCAAGCCUGAUGCAGCCAUGCCGCGUGUAUGAAGAAGGCCUUCGGGUUGUAAAGUACUUUCGGCGGGGAGGCGUUACCCGCAGAAGAAGCACCGGCUAACUCCGUGCCAGCAGCCGCGGUAAUUC